GGUGGAGCGAUUUGUCUGGUUAAUUCCGAUAACGAACGAGACUCUAGCCUGCUAAAUAGUUCGCCGAUCGCAUUCUGUCGGCGCUAACUUCUUAGAGGGACAAGUGGCGUCUAGUCACACGAGAUUGAGCAAUAACAGGUCUGUGAUGCCCUUAGAUGUUCGGGGCCGCACGCGCGCUACACUGAAGGAAUCAGCGUGCUAAAACCAUUGUCGAAAGGCAUUGGUAAACCCAUUAAAAUCCUACGUGAUUGGGAUCGGGAAUUGCAAUUAUUUCCCUUGAACGAGGAAUUCCCAGUAAGUGUGGGUCAUAAGCUCGCGUUGAAUACGUCCCUGCCCUUUGUAC
rnacentral:rRNA from 1 species